rnacentral:rRNA from 1 species
UUAAGCGACUAAGCGUACACGGUGGAUGCCCUGGCAGUCAGAGGCGAUGAAGGACGUGCUAAUCUGCGAUAAGCGUCGGUAAGGUGAUAUGAACCGUUAUAACCGGCGAUUUCCGAAUGGGGAAACCCAGUGUGAUUCGUCACACUAUCAUUAACUGAAUCCAUAGGUUAAUGAGGCGAACCGGGGGAACUGAAACAUCUAAGUACCCCGAGGAAAAGAAAUCAACCGAGAUUCCCCCAGUAGCGGCGAGCGAACGGGGAGCAGCCCAGAGCCUGAAUCAGUGUGUGUGUUAGUGGAAGCGUCUGGAAAGGCGCGCGAUACAGGGUGACAGCCCCGUACACAAAAAUGCACAUACUGUGAGCUCGAUGAGUAGGGCGGGACACGUGGUAUCCUGUCUGAAUAUGGGGGGACCAUCCUCCAAGGCUAAAUACUCCUGACUGACCGAUAGUGAACCAGUACCGUGAGGGAAAGGCGAAAAGAACCCCGGCGAGGGGAGUGAAAAAGAACCUGAAACCGUGUACGUACAAGCAGUGGGAGCACAGAGCAAUCUGUGUGACUGCGUACCUUUUGUAUAAUGGGUCAGCGACUUAUAUUCUGUAGCAAGGUUAACCGAAUAGGGGAGCCGAAGGGAAACCGAGUCUUAACUGGGCGUUAAGUUGCAGGGUAUAGACCCGAAACCCGGUGAUCUAGCCAUGGGCAGGUUGAAGGUUGGGUAACACUAACUGGAGGACCGAACCGACUAAUGUUGAAAAAUUAGCGGAUGACUUGUGGCUGGGGGUGAAAGGCCAAUCAAACCGGGAGAUAGCUGGUUCUCCCCGAAAGCUAUUUAGGUAGCGCCUCGUGAAUUCAUCUCCGGGGGUAGAGCACUGUUUCGGCAAGGGGGUCAUCCCGACUUACCAACCCGAUGCAAACUGCGAAUACCGGAGAAUGUUAUCACGGGAGACACACGGUGGGUGCUAACGUCCGUCGUGAAGAGGGAAACAACCCAGACCGCCAGCUAAGGUCCCAAAGUCAUGGUUAAGUGGGAAACGAUGUGGGAAGGCCCAGACAGCCAGGAUGUUGGCUUAGAAGCAGCCAUCAUUUAAAGAAAGCGUAAUAGCUCACUGGUCGAGUCGGCCUGCGCGGAAGAUGUAACGGGGCUAAACCAUGCACCGAAGCUGCGGCAGCGACGCUUAUGCGUUGUUGGGUAGGGGAGCGUUCUGUAAGCCUGCGAAGGUGUGCUGUGAGGCAUGCUGGAGGUAUCAGAAGUGCGAAUGCUGACAUAAGUAACGAUAAAGCGGGUGAAAAGCCCGCUCGCCGGAAGACCAAGGGUUCCUGUCCAACGUUAAUCGGGGCAGGGUGAGUCGACCCCUAAGGCGAGGCCGAAAGGCGUAGUCGAUGGGAAACAGGUUAAUAUUCCUGUACUUGGUGUUACUGCGAAGGGGGGACGGAGAAGGCUAUGUUGGCCGGGCGACGGUUGUCCCGGUUUAAGCGUGUAGGCUGGUUUUCCAGGCAAAUCCGGAAAAUCAAGGCUGAGGCGUGAUGACGAGGCACUACGGUGCUGAAGCAACAAAUGCCCUGCUUCCAGGAAAAGCCUCUAAGCAUCAGGUAACAUCAAAUCGUACCCCAAACCGACACAGGUGGUCAGGUAGAGAAUACCAAGGCGCUUGAGAGAACUCGGGUGAAGGAACUAGGCAAAAUGGUGCCGUAACUUCGGGAGAAGGCACGCUGAUAUGUAGGUGAAGUCCCUCGCGGAUGGAGCUGAAAUCAGUCGAAGAUACCAGCUGGCUGCAACUGUUUAUUAAAAACACAGCACUGUGCAAACACGAAAGUGGACGUAUACGGUGUGACGCCUGCCCGGUGCCGGAAGGUUAAUUGAUGGGGUUAGCGCAAGCGAAGCUCUUGAUCGAAGCCCCGGUAAACGGCGGCCGUAACUAUAACGGUCCUAAGGUAGCGAAAUUCCUUGUCGGGUAAGUUCCGACCUGCACGAAUGGCGUAAUGAUGGCCAGGCUGUCUCCACCCGAGACUCAGUGAAAUUGAACUCGCUGUGAAGAUGCAGUGUACCCGCGGCAAGACGGAAAGACCCCGUGAACCUUUACUAUAGCUUGACACUGAACAUUGAGCCUUGAUGUGUAGGAUAGGUGGGAGGCUUUGAAGUGUGGACGCCAGUCUGCAUGGAGCCGACCUUGAAAUACCACCCUUUAAUGUUUGAUGUUCUAACGUUGACCCGUAAUCCGGGUUGCGGACAGUGUCUGGUGGGUAGUUUGACUGGGGCGGUCUCCUCCUAAAGAGUAACGGAGGAGCACGAAGGUUGGCUAAUCCUGGUCGGACAUCAGGAGGUUAGUGCAAUGGCAUAAGCCAGCUUGACUGCGAGCGUGACGGCGCGAGCAGGUGCGAAAGCAGGUCAUAGUGAUCCGGUGGUUCUGAAUGGAAGGGCCAUCGCUCAACGGAUAAAAGGUACUCCGGGGAUAACAGGCUGAUACCGCCCAAGAGUUCAUAUCGACGGCGGUGUUUGGCACCUCGAUGUCGGCUCAUCACAUCCUGGGGCUGAAGUAGGUCCCAAGGGUAUGGCUGUUCGCCAUUUAAAGUGGUACGCGAGCUGGGUUUAGAACGUCGUGAGACAGUUCGGUCCCUAUCUGCCGUGGGCGCUGGAGAACUGAGGGGGGCUGCUCCUAGUACGAGAGGACCGGAGUGGACGCAUCACUGGUGUUCGGGUUGUCAUGCCAAUGGCACUGCCCGGUAGCUAAAUGCGGAAGAGAUAAGUGCUGAAAGCAUCUAAGCACGAAACUUGCCCCGAGAUGAGUUCUCCCUGACUCCUUGAGAGUCCUGAAGGAACGUUGAAGACGACGACGUUGAUAGGCCGGAUGUGUAAGCGCAGCGAUGCGUUGAGCUAACCGGUACUAAUGAACCGUGAGGCUUAACCUU